rnacentral:lncRNA from 1 species
AACUUCAAACUUCAAAGGAAAAGAGAUUUCUCCAGCAAGUUUUGGACUUCAUUUAUGAACCACAAGUUUGUAACAGCUUCGUUAUUUCUUGUUUAAGCAAAAACGUUUCAUACUUGAAAAGGUAUGUGAACCGCAACGUCGUCCUCAUUCUUUUGUUAUUAUUAAAUAGGCAUUGCUUUCAGAUUUUGAGUUUAAGAAUUUAUUGCUGAUAUUUUUCUUGUAAGUAAUUAGUGUGCUUAAGUCUGAUCGAUAUGUUACAGUCGAAACCUUGUGCAUUAACAGUUGUUAAGCCCCACAAAAGUAGUUAGGCUGACCCUCUCAUCAUCCUUAAUAAUGCUAGCUACUAAUCUAUUUCCCUCUCACAAUCUCAAAAGUAUAUCUAUUGUUGGUACUAACAAGAUAUCUCCCAUUUAAUACUGGAACACUCAAAUAUAUAUUCAAAAUAAAUGCUGUUCAAAGUUCAAACCAUAACUGGUCAUUCUAUAUAUCCCUACGUUAGAGGCCCUAAACAAUUAGGAUAUCAUUUCCCAAAUCCAAUAAAAGGGAGAUGCAAAUAUUGACUAUAUAACAAAUGAAUCAUCCUUUGGUGUUUACGUUGUCCCACACAGGAACGUGCCAAGUCAAAGCAAGAUGAAAAAUAUAUCAAUUUACUAAUGUUGCGGUUAAAAACCGUAGUCUAGUUAACAACACUGCUGGAAAGCCUGGCAACGAAGGUGAAUCAAAAGUAAAAUAGCGGAUUUUACUGAACCUAAUACUUUAAAUACAAGGAUAAAAAUAUGUCAAAAUUAUGAAACCCCAUUCUUUUGAAAGUUGGUUGAGUCCAGUUAUGAGAAUCAAAUAUUGCCCGUUAAAUAAAAAAUACUAAAUUCGCCAAAGGUAUCGAAACUUAAAACAAUUCAAGAACUAGCUAGAAACAAGAUGAAAAUAAUUCUCGUCUACCAUUAUUAUAAUUGGACGAAAAUAAAUUUUGUUUAAUAUUAUAGUUCAUAAUUAAAAAAAUAAAAACCUCUUUCAUCUUGCUACCUAUCAUGAAGGGAGGGUAGGGAGAUGCAAAAAAAAAAAAAACUAAUAUAAUUUGUAAUUCCACAAAAUUGAGGUGCGGAAAGAGUAAGGUUUCUAUCUAUCUAUCUAUCUAUCUAUAUAUNNNNNNNNNNNNNNNNNNNNNNNNNNNAAAAGUAUUUAAACUUUUUGUCCUUCGUAGAAGAGUCACCUUUAGACAAAACUAUCUUUUCACUAUUUUUUUAAUUUAUUAUUUAAUUAUUUUUAUUAUAUUAACUUGACUCUUAAAAUAUAUGGAACUCCUAAAAUAUAUGGAAGGAGAAUCAAUUAAUUCUUUGUACUGAUCAAUUAGAAAAAUACUCCCAAAAUAGAAUAGAAUAAUAUUCCUAAAAUAAGACUUUAUUAAGAAAUACUUCUAUAAAUACAAUUAUAUAAACACUAUAGAGAAGAACAAUUAUGCGUAAUUGGUAAAGAUAGCGCUAGUAUAAAUCUAAUAAAUUCAGAAUUUUUAAGAUAAAUUGCCAAGCCAACAUGAGUCUCAUGCACAUGGGAUUCAUAGUAGUAGGCCUAAAAGGACUAACCAGAAAAAAUCUAGGAACCAAAGUAUUAGUUGCAAACUAUGAUAAUAGAUGGUCAGAUUUAAAAAGAUCUAUAAUUGAAAUAACAGAGGUAGACAUAUCAAUAAAUGGAAGACUUUUUUUAUUGUAGUCCAGACUAUAUGAUAAAUUCUCUAGAAUUUGAAAAAUAUAUUUUGUGAUCACUAUUAUACUAUUUUGUUGUAGUUUACAGGUUGUAGAUGAAUUUAUAGGUGGUAGAUUAAUAUCGGUCGGCUUUAAGGAAUUUUUUUAGGUAAAGAUUAGGUUUAAUUGUAUUGUUUUUAUAUCUUUAUUUUAAGAAAAAAUUGUGUAAAGGUAAAAUUUAGUUAUAUUAUUUUGAUAUCUCUAUUGUUGUACUGUUUUGUUAUAGUUUACAAGUAGUAGAUGAGUGUCGGACGAUUUUGAAAAAAAUUUUAUGUAAAAACUUUGAAAAAUAUUUUUUAUAAAGGUUAGGUUUAAUUAAAUAAACUUUUCAAAAAAUAUUAAAUUUAAUUAUCGUAUUCAUCUUUAUUAUUUAAGUAAAUAUUGUAUUUAGUAUAACAUUUAAACUCAUGAAAGUAAGGAAGUACACAUUUAAACUCAUGAAAGUAAGAAAGUACACGCGCAAGACGCAUGCACCUAAACUAAUAUAAUAUAUACCCAAUGUAACUCAAAAACCCUUUUUUAAAAAAAGAAAGAGCAACCAAUGCAUGCUAGAAGAUUGCAGAUUCUUGCGUGUAGGGUUGUCUCAACCCUUUUUUUUGGUAGGGUAGGGGAGUGUUCGGUAUUAGUAAAAACUUAAAAGGAAAAAGACCAGUUGACCAAAGAGGAUACGGGGAGUCCGUUCUUCAUGACUAGCGUGCCGCUCCCCAAGAGGAGGAGACGUACAUAUAUCUUUAAAUUUUUAAAACUAAGAAGAAAACAAAAGUCCCCAUUGGCAAUUCAUUAUGCUCUUGUUUUAAUUUAUUUGAUAUAUUUUAAUUAACAAAUAAUUUUUAAAAAUAAAAAAAUAAUUUUAUCAUUUUAAAUUUAAAAUAUCUUACAUAUAUAAAAAUAUGUUUUAAACUUUUCUAUUUUAAACAAAAUAAAACAAUUCAAACAAAUUAAAACACAAUAAUAUUAUAUUUUAAACUCCAAAAAGCUCCUCCAAAUUUCACAAAAAUAUAUCUCAAAAUAAAUAUCUAAUAGUAGAAUUCGGCGCCUAACAAUCCCCUGAAUUUCGCCGUCAAUCGCUCCGUUUAAUCUAUAACUUAUUUAUUUGCACUGUCUUACGUUAACUUCAAAAUAAUAUAUCGUAUAUUAGUUGAAAAAUGGAUGAAAGAUAAAGUUAUAAUAAUUAAGAUAAAAUAGAACUGCAAUAAAUAAAAACAUGUGACAUCAAAGAUAUCAGCAAUUUUAUUAUUUAUAUAUCAGCAAAUUAUAAUAAUCUUUCAAACAUUUGUCACUUAACAGGGGUCUAUCAAAAAGUGCAUACACAUCAUCAUCUUUGAGACCCUCUAUCCUUUCCGACCCUCUGUGAAAUCACAACGUCAAGGUUGUACGAGAGAGAGAGAGAUUUUAACGUUAGGGAAAUUUGUAUUUCUUACCAUUCAACAAGAUGAAUUUUUAAAAAAGAAAUUACCUUGUAAUUAACAUUUUAUUCAGGAACUGAGCAAAAGAAAUUGUCUUUCUAGAAGUAUGGACUGCGUAUAUCUUACCCUUCCCAAAUCUCAUUAUGUGAGAAUAUACUGGGUUUGUUGUUGUAACUGAGCAAAAGAAAUUAGAGAAAAUCGAUAUAAAAAGGAAGCACUUUGUGAGAAAUAGUGGAUUGUGUAUUUUUCUGAAACGAGCUAUGGAUAGUAAAAGAGGACUAAAUAUCCGCCGUAAUAAUAAGCAUAUUAAAAUGCAAAGUAACAACAUUUUACUAUUCGAAGAAACCAACAUUGACAAGAAAACAAGGAAAAUGAACCAACAAAACCUCCAUCAUUCUAAUCAUAAUAAUAUAUGUAUUCCAUCUCCCUCCCACUUUCUAACUAAUCUAAAUCUAAUCUAUAAGUAUAUGAUUAUCCAUAUAAUCAAGUACUUCAAGAAACCAAUCCGCAGAUUAUUAUCUACAGAACAUUUCAAUGAAAUUAAACUAAAAUUUGCUGCUUCAUUUUUGAAAAUCAUGAUUAAGAAAACAUGAUGGUAAGAUAGCACUAAUAAAUCUACCUUUUUCUUUUCCUCCUCAUUGUUGUUAUGAUCACAUAAUCAUCAUCAUGACUUCAAAUAACUUUGUACUGCGUAAUAAUAUUUAUCUUCUUUUUUUCUAGUCUGAAGAACAAAUCCAUGAUUCCACCAUACCUUCACCACCUCUGCUUACCACUGUUUCCUGCACCUUAUCGCCAUGAAAAUUAGCUGCAUUAAUACUGUUG